AUUAGGAUUAUACAGUAACAGUCUGUACUCAGUCAGAAAAGGUUAGGAUUAUACAGUAACAGGCUGUACUCAGUCAGAAAAGAUAAGGAUUAUACAGUAACAGUCUGUACUCAGUCAGAAAAGAUAAGGAUUAUACAGUAACAGUCUGUACUCAGUCAGAAAAGAUAAGGAUUAUACAGUAACAGUCUGUACUCAGUCAGAAAAGAUAAGGAUUAUACAGUAACAGUCUGUACUCAGUCAGAAAAGGUUAGGAUUAUACAGUAACAGUCUGUACUCAGUCAGAAAAGGUUAGGAUUAUACAGUAACAGUCUGUACUCAG